AACAUAUAGCAUAACAGUGAUGUAAGUCUUGGAUGGAUGAACUCUGCUGAAGCUACACUCUGAAGCUACAUGAAGUUUGGAGGUGUGUAGUGAUGAACUCUGAAGCUACAUGAAGUUUGGAGGUGUGUAGUGAUGAUGAACUCUGAAGCUACAUAAAGUUUGGAGGUGUUUAGUGAUGAUGAACUCUGAAGCUACAUAAAGUUUGGAGGUGUGUAGUGAUGAACUCUGCUGAAGCUACAUGAAGUUUGGAGGUGUAUAGUGAUGAACUCUGAAGCCACAUGAAGUUUGGAGGUGUGUAGUGAGUGAUGAACUCUGAAGCUACAUGAAGUUUGGAGGUGUGUAGUGAUGAACUAAUCUGAAGCUACAUGAAGUUUGGAGGUGUGUAGUGAUGAACUCUGAAGCUACAUGAAGUUUGGAGGUGUGUAGUGAUGAACUCUGCUGAAGCUACAUGAAAUUUGGAGGUGUGUAGUGAUGACGAACUCUGAAGCUACAUGAAGUUUGGAGGUGUGUAGUGAUGAACUCUGAAGCUACAUGAAGUUUGGAGGUGUGUAGUGAUGACGAACUCUGAAGCUACAUGAAGUUUGGAGGUGUGUAGUGAUGAACUCUGCUGAAGCUACAUGAAAUUUGGAGGUGUGUAGUGAUGACGA